GAGCCCAGGCCCCCAGCAGCUAUAGCAGGUGCCCCAAUUUGGCAGCACAGACAGGCCAACCUGGCACCAGCCUGCUAAUGCUGCUGGGAGAGGCCUCGAGGGGGCUGAAGCUGGUUCAAUGGGCAGCUCUUUGGAGAUGCAGUGGCUUGAGGUGAUUCACUGUGACAGGCUGUUGACAGCGCAGCUCCCAGGGUUGCUUGUGGUCACAUGCGGAGCUGCCCCAGCCGCCUGCCUCUGAGGGAACAAAAGAGGGGCAGCAGAUGGCAGCCGUCCACGUGGAGAUCCUGUGCUGCCUCUACCCUUAUGGCCUCGGAGCUCUUUUCUGGAGGGCAAUGGGUCCUAGCCACAGUGCCCAUUGCUUACAACCCCAAAAGUCAUGUGGGCUAAGAUCCUGCUACGAGCCCUCGAUCUAACUGGAAAGAGGAGCACAAGGACCUCCCUUCAUCCUUCCCUCUCUCCUUGUCUCACUUCCUCCCUUCAUCCAGUUUUGUCGAGUGCCUACCAUUGUGCCAAGUACUGUGCUUGGUACUGGAACAUGGGGUUGUUUGGAACAAAACAGUCAUGGUCCUCUCCUCAUGGAGUUUAUAGUCUAGUGAAGGAGACACACGUUAAACAGGGACUGCUGCUGUGAGGGUGUGAGGAGAGCAGAAUGUGACCAAGGAGGAGGACCACUACCUGUUCUGAGUGAACUUGUGGCGGAAAAGAAGAUGAGUCUGGACCUUCGGGGGCUCCCAUGAGGCAGAAUGGAGUCACACAGAAGGAAGCGGAGUGACAGAUGGAGAGAGUGAGACCAAGUCCCGACACCAUCAUUGGAGUCGCUGAAUCAGACAUACGCCUGGAUGUUUUGGGUGCCUGAGAUGAUGAGUUUGAAUUGAGUUUCCUGGAACUUGCAAACAAGAGUCCUGAGACUGAUAUAGUUGCAGUGACAAGCUUAAACAACUGACUUGCUGUGUGUGUGUGUGUGUGUGUGUGUGUGUGUGUGUGUGUGAAUCU